rnacentral:rRNA from 1 species
AAUGGACGCAAGUCUGAACCAGCCAUGCCGCGUGAAGGAUGACUGCCUAUGGGUUGUAAACUUCUUUUAUAUAGGAAGAACCUCUCUACGUGUAGAGAGCUGACGGUACUAUACGAAUAAGGACCGGCUAACUCCGUGCCAGCAGCCGCGGUAAUACGGAGGGUCCAAGCGUUAUCCGGAUUUAUUGGGUUUAAAGGGUCCGUAGGCGGGGUUUUAAGUCAGUGGUGAAAGCCUGCAGCUCAACUGUAGAACUGCCAUUGAAACUGGAACUCUUGAAUGUGAUUGAGGUAGGCGGAAUAUGUCAUGUAGCGGUGAAAUGCUUAGAUAUGACAUAGAACACCGAUAGCGAAGGCAGCUUACCAAGUCAUUAUUGACGCUGAUGGACGAAAGCGUGGGGAGCGAACAGGAUU